CCGUAAGAGGGAGUUCAGACCUAGAUCUUUCCAGUUAAUCACACAACAAACUUAGCUCAUCGCAAUAAAAAGCAGCUCAGAGCCGACUGGCUCUUUUAGGCACUGACUGCGAACAGGAUUCUUUCACCGGGGCAUCUCCUCCAGUGGGACCCACCAGCGCGUCCCGCAGCACCAUGUGGGUGACCAAACUUCUGCCAGUCCUGCUGCUGCAGCACGUCCUCCUACAUCUCCUUCUGCUUCCCAUCGCCAUCCCCUAUGCAGAGGGACAGAAGAAAAGAAGAAAUACACUCCAUGAAUUCAAAAAGUCAGCUAAGACAACUCUAAUCAAAGAAGACCCAUUACUGAAGAUUAAAACCAAAAAAAUGAAUACUCCAGACCAAUGUGCCAAUAGAUGUAUUAGGAAUA
rnacentral:lncRNA from 1 species